rnacentral:lncRNA from 1 species
AGAGGUGGGUUAGAGGGAUGACGACGGCAGCAGCGGUACCUCGGGCAGACCAGGGCGGCAAGGCUGCAACGUGGACGGUCGUGUGUUUUGGCGUAUGUCUGGAGGAAGAAGGUUACAGGUCCGUUGGAUGCAUAUAUGUGACGGUGGAGGGAAAACUGACCCGACUGAAGAGAAACCUUUUUGAGCCUGAAAUAGUCGCUCUCAAUUGUAACCAUAGCAGCUUGGCACGGUUUUGAAGGAUCAGAGUUGCUUGUGUGUUGUAUGACUGAGUUUUUUCUUGCAAAUUGAAGUCCUUUGUUUGCUCUAUGUGUUGAAGACGUUCGUUCUACACGUCUUCCUAUGGGUUUUGAAGAAAUAGAGUUGCAUGGCAUGACAUGGUGAAAAGAGAAGAUGCACAUGAUGAGAUGGAAACGAAAUAUGUGUUCUUUUAUCUGUAAGUAGCUACGUAGGUUAAGUCUCAUUACAUGAACCGAAUCAUCACACUCAACACGUGCAUUGCACGUGCACAUUUACUAGUGGAUAAUAAACUAGCGGUGGAGGACCCGUUUUCUUUUUGAGGCAAAGCGGUGGAGGACACGUGAUGGCCUGAUGGGUGUACGUGCCACCCGCUCAGCCCCAACUUUGUUUUUAACGUGUACGUGCCGCUGACUCGGCCCCAACUUUGUUUUUAACGUACACGGGAGUUAUAAUAUUUUCUUGCGUUUGGGCCAGUGAAAAAAACAUUGGAACUGUAAUAUAAUCUUUCAAAUAAAAGAAACCUUCCAUUAAAAAGCUACGUAAUAAAAAUCAUUAGAGUUUGAAUCUUUUGAUAAUAAACUCUCAAAGAGUAUCCAACGCCAACCCUUGAAAUGCUUGCAACCGUCUGGGCCGCACGGCCGAACAUGUUUACCAUCUAACGCCGACAUGUAUCGUUCCGUCGAUCGGUCCGAACUUCUUAUUUCCCGCAAUCCGAAAACAAAUUGGUAGCUUUGCAGGCGUACGGAUUGCUGCCAUGCUCAAUUAUGACUGCCAUGGCCCACCCUUGUCAAUUCCACCAGAACUGGUCAGCACCGCUCCAGAGCACCAUGCAGGCUCAGAUCGACGACUCUCACUGGCACUCUAGCAUUGAAGCGGCACCGACCGCACUGACAUCCCAAUAGAGGACGCAACCGAUGACGAGUCGAUGCCACCCUACUCGCUGGUCCAUGUGGAUAUCAUCAUGGGCUAGGCCCAUGCUCACUACACCGAAACAGUAUUGGCUGAGUGGGAGGCGGCUAGCAGUCUGGCAGGCAGGCGGAGGUCGACGUUACGAACAUCCCAAUAGAGGAUGCGACCGAUGACGAGUUAAUGCCACCCUCCUCUCCGGUCCAUGUGGGUUUCACCAUGGACUAGGCCCAUGCUCACUUCACCGAAACGGUGUUGGCUGAGCGGGAGGCCUUGUUCCGACAGGCGCAAGCCAACUAGGAGUAGAACCUCUUCCUCCUCAAUGAGCACCGACGCAUGCUGGAGCAACUCGCCGCCGGCACGGCGAUCACUUUGCACAUGGACCGGGCGGAGCAUGAGGAGUUGGUCGACUCCUAUCGUACCGCCUGCGAAAUCUGCCGUGACUGCUGGUGGUACCGCCAGCGUCAGGCGGAGUUAGAAGCGGCCUUCAAGGAGAACAACAAGGCGGCCGACGAAGUCUACGACAAGAGAGACGACAAGGAUGACGUUGCCAGCUCUGCCACGCCCGCGCCUCGCCGCCACGACCACCAAGUCAACACGUCCCCAAGGGCGCCGCCGACAGUGACAAAGAGUAGAGCAUGGGGGUUCGUCGACACACGGGCCCUAGGAAGGCCACCACCCUUUCGCUCACGCUGAAGCCAAGCUUGGCGGGCUCAAAAUCGUCGAUCGAUUAGCUGCUUGUAGGAUAUGGAGGCGGAGACUAUGAAGGCAGAGCUGGAGCUUCAAUUCCCGGGGCUCACGGUCGACCGAAAACAGCCGAAGGGGCGUUGGGGCCAUAUAGAGUAGGUUUAUAGUAUGACUUAGUUCAAAUAUGUCGAAAUGUAAUUAAUUUGCUCCGGUCUAUAUGAAAAGCACCCGAUUUUGUCUAAAAAUCGGUUUGUUUAAACAUCCAUCAAAUUUGUUCACUUUCAUUAAAUUUCUUCCGAAAUGCAGAUAGACAUAUGCGGAAAGUAUUGGAUGGUCGUCUCCCACACCAAUGUCCGUGGACUGCCCCCGAGAUGCCCUAAGAAUCACAUUGUAUGUUUCUUCCCUUAAAAGACUAUUCCAUGCAUAUGUAAGAAUUAUAUUCUAUGUAUCACUACUCUUUCAUUUGAUAGAAGUGCGAAGCGUAAGUAUGCACCGGUGAAGGACGUUAGGGUGGCUUCUCACGUGAACACUUCAUGAUCCAAACAAGAAUAAUUCAACCCGUGGCAACACACCUGCAUAUGGACCUUAUAGAGAUAAGGGUAACCUAAUUCAACAUUUUCGAGAUGGUAACCUAAUUCGACAUUUUCGAGAUUUGAAUAUAAGUGAAGCGAACUGGCACGUAUAGUAGGUUUUGUCAAUAUUUCGUCCGUUGCAACGCACGGGCAUAUGUACUAGUCUCUAUAAAGAGCAGAGAGCAUCGGGAGAUAAACAGAACACAUCUCCACCUCCUUCCUCACAUACCACAAGUGCUGAGCUGCCGUCUGAACGAAGCCGGCCGUGUUGUCCGCCAUGCAACGGCAGCCCGGCAAGUGGUGUCUUCGUGACUUCGGCCGCAUCCUUCGACCCUGCACGAGGGCGGUCUAGAGUUUUCUGGGCAGCGUCCGCGCGACCGCUCCUUAGACUUCCUCGACGACAUCAUCCUCGGCGACGGCUGCUUCGUCGACGCCCUCGACAACUGUAGGGCAAUAAGCCACGGCGAGCGGCGACGCGGUGCACGUGUGCGUGCGGUGGACGCGUUGGGCUCGGCCCAUGGCAGGCUUGGUCGGGUGCGUGCGUGACCAAGGGUGUAUGUGUGUGUGUCCACGCAUACGAGCGUGUGGGCCGUUGUGUGUAGGCGAGAUGCGCGGAGGAGUGACCGCGUCAGGGCACUGGACUCGGGCCGUGGCGACUGCGGGCGUGCGCGUCGGGUGCACGAGCCUGGGAGCGCGGGGCCUGGGGGUGCGUGAGUGGGGUACGUGGGAGCGCGGCGUGGCAUGUCUGUGCACGCCCGUAUAAAGCCUUCUCCCCCCUCCGUGUUGUAGCUCGCUGGAUCGAGUUCGAACUCGAGGAAGAAAAGGUCGUUCGUGCGUUGGGGCGUUCGUGCGCCGGAAAAACCACCCGCGCCCUCUGUUUCCUCCUUCUUCCUCCUUCUUCGUCAGUUCGUGCCACACACACACAGAGGGAAGAGCUCAGGGAGAGAGAUAGGUAGAGCUAGGGCAGUCUAGGGUUUAGGGUUUUGGCGCCAACAAUUGGCAUCAGAGCUUGGUGAGGGAGCUCGCCAGCUGCAAUGGCGAUCGUGCCACACGGCGGAGGCGCGGGUGGAUCGGUGUCGAUGGCGAUGUCGAUGCUCACACCGAACAACUACACGGUUUGGGCGAUCGCCGAUGCCCACACUCUAUGGGAGGCGGUGGCGCCGGGCGACGCGGCGGUGAACAGAAAAAAAUGCAAGACGGCGCGCGCGAUGAUCCUCGGCGGGCUGCAGGAGGACGUGCUACUGCAGGUGACGACGAAGCUCACCGCCAGGGAGGUAUGGGACUCCCUAAAGGUGAGGUUCGUCGGCGCCGAUCAGGUGCGCGCGGCGAGGCGGGCGACACUGCGCGGGGAGCUCGAUCGCCUGAAGAUGGCGGACGGCGAGGCGCUGGAUGCGUAUGCCGGGAAGCUGGCGGGGAUGACGGCACGGUUCGCGAACCUCGGGGAGACGCUGGGCGACGCGGCGCUGGUGAAAAAGCUCCUGGACCCUGUCCCCGAUCGGUUGUUCCCAUUCGACGCCGGCAUCGAGUAGUUCUGCAACCUCGACGAGAUGAUGUUCAACGAGGCGCUCGGGCGGCUGCGCGCGUCCAACGAGCGGGUCCGGUGCCAUGCACAAGACGGCGGCGAGCGUGGCAGUGAUCAGCUGCUGCUGACCAUGGCGUAGUGGCAGGCGCGGGAGCGGCAGCAGGGAGAGCUCGCGACGAAGACGACGGGCGGAGUGUGGCGUCGGGCAACGGCGGCAACAGGCGCAAUCGCUGCUAUAAGUGUGGUGAGCGCGGCCACUUCAAGAGGGACUGCCCCCAGCUGCGGAGGGAGCCAGCGGCAGAGCGCGUGAUGCUGGCGGGCGUCGACGUCGAGGACGGCGGCCUCCUCUAGGCCAUGGCUUAGGGGGUGAACUGUAGGGCAAUAAGCCACGGCGAGCGGCGACGCGGUGCACCUGUGUGCGCGUGGUGGACGUGUCGGACUCGGCCCGUGGCAGGCUUGGUCGGGUGCGUGCGUGACCAAGGGUGUGUGCGUGUGUGUCCCCGCGUACGAGCGCAUGGGCCAUUGUGUGUAGGCUAGAUGCGCGGAGGAGUGACCGCGUCGGGGCGCUGGACUCGGGCCGUGACGAGUGCGUGUGUGCGCGUCGGGUGCACAAGCCUGGGAGCGCGGGAUGUGGGGGUGCGUGAGUGGGGUGCGUGGGAGCGCGGGGCGACGCAUCUGUGCACGCCCGUAUAAAGCCUGCUCCCCCUCCGUGUUGUAGCUCGCUGGAUCGAGUUCGAGCUCGAGGAAGCAAAGGUUGUUCGUGCGCCGGAAAUACCACCCGUGCCCUCUGUUUCCUCCUUCUUCCUCCUUCUUCGUCGGUUCGUGCCACAGAGAGAGGGAGCUCAGGGAGAGAGAGGGGGGGGGUAGAGCUAGGGCAGUCUAGGGUUUAGGGUUUUGGUGCCAACAACAUCAUCGUCUCCGGCGAUCGCUGCUUCCUCAACAUCCUCGUCGACAUCGUCUCCGCGACCGCUGCUUCCUCUACGAGAUCGUCUCCGGCAAACUCCAUCCACGAACACCAGUGCACCGACGUCUAGACUGUAAGUUGCAUCUGGUCAUUACUAGUACUAGAUAAAUUUGUGCAUGCUCUAGCUGAUUCUAUAUCAGGUUUUUUUCGAAGGUAUUCUAUAUCAGAUUGAUCUAGUGUUUAUAGACUGUUCUCUGUUCCUGCUGCUAGUGGAUUCAACUAUGCCCUGUCUGUACGGUAGAUUAUAUAUCUUCAUGUUAAUCUGCUUGUACUACUACUUUGUUGCCACUAGUAUGGUAGACAGUCCUAGCACUUCACGAAAUGUUUUUAUUUGCAUGCUUAGAAUACACUAGAAGCAUACGCGCACCUUGCUGCGCCGUUUUACCUUUCUACCAUUUAUUGUUUGAUUGUUAAUUCAUAAAUAGAUUUCUUGCUGCUCUGUUUGAGGGUCAGGGGUUAUUGUUUAUUUCAUGGGCCUUUUGUGUUUUGGCUUCCAUAAUUUUGGGGUCAGAACACUCUUUAUUGUAUUGCAGAGUAUGUCUAGUUGCUAGGACACAUCAUCAUUUACUUGGUAGGAUAUUACUCAGUUUUUUUACAAUUAUCGUUCUUCGCAAAAAUGGUAUGUUAGCAGCACUGCCAAAAACAUAUCCUAAGUAGUGAUUGGCGUCAAACAUGUCACGGACCUGCAGGGUUAAACCAUAGUGCUGGAUAGACAUGAUAAUGUAAAUCUGCAAAACUAAUUCAAAAUGAUGAUAAGGCAUAACCGAGGCUUGUGACAAUCAUACAACUCUAUGAUUUGACCAACCGAUAUUUCAUAACUUACCUUGGUCACAGACAAAUAAUACAAAACACCAACAUUAAAGGUCUGCAAUAAUGGUAAAAGGGAAGUGAAAGUGAGAAAUACUUGAAAGUUGCAACACAACACCAAAGUAUAUGGCUUUUGGUUUUCAAUAUUGAUCAUUCAUAUGCGUAGUUAGAAUCGAAAUAGAAAGAACAUAUUUGAAAUAAAAGCAAUGAUUUGCAUAGACUAACGACAGGAAAGGGAAUGAAGCAUGUUUAUAGCGGCUUCUAAUAGGAAGAGAUGGAAAUGAAGGAUAGAGAGAUAAUAGUACAAGUGAUUGAUCUCAGUUUUCAUUUGAAUGCAAUAUUAUUGAUGCAUUAAUAAGGCCCGAUCAGCUGUGUACAUAAGUGACGCAGUGACAAUUAAGCAAAUUAUCUUCACAGAAAAACCUAGUUAUCAUCACUUGUGUACAUAACGGCCCAGAGACCAUGCUCCUUAGGCGUGGAACGAUAUGCUAAUUAAUACUCCCUCUGUUCUAAAAUAUAGUCCAUACUUUGUUUUGAAAAGUCAAACGUACCAAUGUUUGACCAAGUUUUAAAAAAUCAACAUCCACAUGUACUGUUAUAGUUUAUUUAUUUAGUACUUCAAAUAUUGAUAAUUUAUUCUAGAAACUUGGUCAAAUGGACAUCUUUGACUUUUGAAAAACUAAUAUGCACUACAUUGUGGAAUAGAGGCCACAUAAAACAUGCCAUGUAUAAACUGUGUGAGGUUGUUAAUCCACAAACACAGAGAUGUACUCAAGCAGUGAAGCAUGAAGUUUUUAAAUUGAAGCCUUACACAAUGAGAUAAAAUCCCGGUAUAAUCUGCUACUUGUUUAGCGCCGAAGCGAGCGAGAUUGAAUUUGAAUCAGGCUGCCAAAGAAAGGAUGACAGAGGGAGAGGAAGGAGGUAUUAGGAGUUGUACUGCAGACCUUGUGGGACAUGGCAUGUUGAUGAAGGUGACCAAGUUCCAAAGACGACAGUCGUCUCCAGGCCCCGAGCGUCGUUGUCGUUGGAAGUUAACUACCGCACAAAAGAAAGGGAGAAAGAUGGAGUGAUGGGCGGGGUGUGCGGCAUGGUGGUGGACAGGCAAAGCCCGUGCAGUCUUGUGGUGCGGAGGAGGCGGUGUGGGACGGGCGCCUGUGCAAUCGUGUGGUGCGGAUGAGGCGGUGAUGGACUGGCGGUGCUGUGCAACCAUAUGAUGCGGAGGAGCAGGUGAUGGGCCGGGUGCCUAUGCAACCGUGUGGUGCGGAAGAGGCGGUGAUGGCUCAGGCAUACUGCCAUGACAGAAGGGGAGAAAGAUAGAGAGAUGGGCGGGGCAUGCGAUGUGGUGGUGGACUGACGGCGCCCAUGCAGCCAUGUGACAUAGAGGAGGCGGUGAUAGGACAAGCUGGCGGUGACCGUGCCGCUAUGCGAUGAUACAUCACUUUGAUGUACAUGAGCAACAUAUAAACCUUUUUCUUCUCGCAAAAAAAGUAGUCCCUCUGAUCUAUAAUAAAUGUCAUGGUUUUAGUUCAGGGAGUAAGUGACACGUAACACAUCAAGUGUUGGACACAUGUAGUUGGAUGGUUGGCCCAGACUGUAAACAAUACGUAUUGUUGGAUGGUUAGGUGGACAUUGCUAUUCCCUGCCACCAGAGUCUCAGUCUUUACAUUGGUGCUCGCAUUUUUCUGGAUUUAUUCCAGGCCUUUCGGCGGUGUGCAUCAGUGGGAGGAGACAUCCCAUCAACUACGAAGGCGUCCGUAGCGACUGCAUCAAUCUUAAGAUGAUGUGUCGUCCCAGUCUCUCAGAAAUGCUCAUAAGGGUAAGGUGUGUAUGCGUGCAUUCAUAGGGGUGAGUGUAUGCUCGUGUAUGUGAGCGAGUUUGAUUGUAUUGUGAUCAGUAAAAAUAAUACCUAUUUAUUUAAUAAAAGACCGCGGUUAAAAUCUAAGUAAUUCUUUAAAAAGAAUAAGCAACAUGCUCACAUGACCCUCUCAGCCCUCAGCCCUGAAGCGCUCACAGCCCUUACAUUCAAGGGAGCUUAGAUAUGGUAGUGAUGGCUGGGUGCUAUCACUCUGCUUAUUUCUGAAUCUGGGUUGCAUGCUUCUGAAGAAAACCGGGCGUACUAACUACUAAGUAAAGGAAUUAAAUUGAUGACAAAUUAUGUAUUGUUUGUAACAAUAUCUAAAUGUAUUUUAUUUUUAAGUAUAUUUAUUUUUAUUCAUUUCUAGGCAUACUGCUACUCUUUUUAUUUACAGAAAUAUACUAUUGUUCUUGUGCUAAUGGCCGGGAGUAAUUAACUUAAUUAGCCCAUGAUUGAUCAACCCAUGUGACAUUGUGGCUUUGCCCAUCUGCGGUUCUUCUGCCAUGCAAUCGAUCACAUCGACCGGUGUUGCGUGCAUCCCGUGGCCGCCUGCACCCGAUUUGUCACGCCGCCGUCCGCAGCAAGAGCACACGGCCGGACGGAUGCUGGAAGAUUAGGAACCUGUUGUGAAAGCAUCUAGAUGGCUGCAUGCAUUGAUUGAUGGAGAGGUUGGGGGUUUAACCUUCUUUCUCAGAAGUAAAAAAAAAAAAC